AGGUCAGAAAUGGUGCUUCCCCGGUCUCCUUCUGCCCUCCUGUCCCACCCAGGCAGCCCGCAGCCCUUGGAUCUCAGGGUCUGACGCAGUGUGGGUGAGAUGGCCGGCAGGUUCUGCUUCUCUGUGCCCCGCUUUCCCGUCUGUAAAAUGGGAGUGAUGGUGUGGAGCGGGUGUGGCUCAGUGGCAGAGCGCUUGCUGAGCAGGCAGGAGGCCCUGGCUCCGGUCCCCACCACCAUCAUCAUCACCGUGUGGGGGUCCAGCGAGAUGAGGCCCAUGGAGCCCCCAGUGCGGGGGCCGGUUCACGGCACCUGCUCAGCACCGGUCAGCGGUGGCUGCUGCGACUCUUGCCACCCUCUGGGUCACCACGUCACCAUGUCCAGGACAGGCUGAUCCGGAGCAGGCUCCCGCAGCAGCCUCGCUCUCUGCCCUGUUCUCCCCCACCGCUUCUGUCCGGUGACACCUCCUCAUCCCUCCAGUCGCAUCUCAAACCAGAGCCCGUCGCGACUUCUGCAGGCUGAAUGAGGCCCUGCCCACUCUCCUCCUCAAACUUGUCCACCUGGUGGGCACCAUCUUCAUGCCUGUCUCUCUUCCUAUUAGAUCGUGGGCUUCUUGGGGAGGACCACAGUCAUCCCUAGUGUGACACGAGUGUCUGGGGGCCUGGCACAAAAUCAGUGCCCAAGAAGCAAGAGUGACUGCUCGGACGUGUGCAGUAGCAUUCAGGGACAUGGCUUAGCCGUUGAGAGCAGCCACUGUCAGCCCACAGGCCUGGUGGAACCCAGCCUACGCCUUAUUCAUCGCAUGACGCAGCUGACAUAGGGCCCGGCUCAAUAAUGGGGGUUUGUUGAACAGCGGGGCCCUUGGGCCUGCGUCUUAAGCGAGUUUAAAGUGCACUGCUACUUUCUCAUCUGUGAAAUGGGCUGAUACUAGUAUCAAACUGAGGGCUAGGUGACUCCCUCGUGCACAGCGUGUGCACAGCGCGUGCAGAGCGCGUGGUCCGUGUCCAGAGCUGAGCAAGCUCUGGGGAACCCAGCGGGUCUCCCUGCGGUGACCGCCUCGGCACCCCGCCCCCUCCCUGGUGGUGGAAAGUUCUUUGACCCAAGUGGCCUGCUGCCUUCCCAGGACCUACUGGGUCCCCAGCCCCUCCCCGUCCGGUCACACUCUGCUGUUCCCUGCUCCGUGGGGAGGCCCCUCCCGUGGCUCAGCCCUGACACAGCUGAUUGGGAAUUUGUUUUAUUUCUGAGGCUGCCGAGGCCUGUCUCCCCCCCCUGAAAAAGCAAUUAGACUUGUGUUUA
rnacentral:lncRNA from 1 species